CGAAAGCCUGACGGAGCAACGCCGCGUGAGGGAUGAAGGCCUCUGGGCUGUAAACCUCUUUUCUCAAGGAAGAAGAUCUGACGGUACUUGAGGAAUAAGCCACGGCUAAUUCCGUGCCAGCAGCCGCGGUAAUACGGGAGUGGCAAGCGUUAUCCGGAAUUAUUGGGCGUAAAGCGUCCGCAGGCGGCUUACAAGUCUGUCGUUAAAGCGUGGAGCUUAACUCCAUUUAAGCGAUGGAAACUGUAAGGCUAGAGUGUGGUAAGGGCAGAGGGAAUUCCCGGUGUAGCGGUGAAAUGCGUAGAUAUCGGGAAGAACACCAGUGGCGAAGGCGCUCUGCUGGGCCAUAACUGACGCUCAUGGACGAAAGCCAGGGGAGCG
rnacentral:rRNA from 1 species